rnacentral:lncRNA from 1 species
UUGCCUACUGCUAUUGGCCUUGCUGGUUUUCCAGGUAGGUUGCAGGAAGCAGAUCCUGGAAAGCCAGCAGUGCAGAAUGGUGAGAUCCAAACAGCAAGCAGUCUCUGGUGCCAGUUCAGAGGCCUCCCAGCAUGGCAGUGGGAGGCUUCUGGGUGGUGGUGGCUGAACCCAUUUUUUAACUGUAUUUACCCCAUAAGAUGCACAUACUUUCUCCCCCUCUAUUUGGGGGGGGAGUGAGUCUUAUGGAGCGGGAAAUAAAAAUACGGUACCUGGUUUCGGUAAUAAAGUUCCUGUAUUGUUUUUAGAAAUGUGGUGAAGGUUAAAGUGAAUCGGUUACAAGAUUGCUCUGAAAAGGCCUUUAACCCAGUUCAUCUCACUGGAACAGCACAGAGUUGGCUGCAUUCCAUCACCACUGAGGAGUGCAAGACUUCAUUUCCUCUGCUGUUGUUUGCUUCUUGCUUCUUUUGUUAUUCAAUUGCAUCAGUUGUUAUUUAGUUAUUCAACAACCUCUCUUCCUUCUUCCCUAUCCUUCCUGAAUGAUGAUAGUGCUAGUGUAUUACUGGAAAAACAUUACUACAAAAAUUCCAGGGAAAGUCCAUUUAAAAAAAAAAACAUUUUUGGAGGUAAAAGGCUUUUCACCGGUACAAUAUCUCUGUCACAGGCAAAAAGAACAAAAUCGGGAUCCUUAUUUUCACACAUGAGAAAGAGCAGCCAAAGUGGAACCAAAUUUGGAUUGGGCUCAGAGGACAAGUGGAAUGGAAAAUCCUGAUUCUUCAAGGCAAACUGCCCCCUCCAGAGCUGUGGAUGAGAAAGCAUGCAGGCCCUCCCAUGCUUCUACUUUUAAGGAGAGAAAAAUGCAUUUCCUGAUUCAAUUACAGAUCUGCUACCAUCCAUGUCACUUUGCCCUCAGAGAGUACAUUUGCACUAUUCCAUCUAAAGUGGCUGAAGAUUGAAACCUAAGUUGCCCAUCUUUUUAUCUUUAGCUUUCACAUCUUGUUUGACUUCUUGGUGCACUUGCAUUCCACAGGACUUUUUAUGAUUAAGGGGGUGAUUUAUCACACUUAUACUGUGCUUUGCUCUAGAGUACUCAAAGCAGUAUAGGUAAGGAUUCCAGGCAGCAUACUGAGACCAGUUUCAGCAGAACUACUUAUCAGUAGAACAUUCCUAGAGCUGAUGUGUAAUUAGUUGCUUGAGCAGCAGCCCACAUGCUGAGAUGAUAGAAGUUACAUCUGGGGACUAUAGCUACCAGAAACCCAUAAGCAGCAUGGACACUGCCAUCUUGGUGAUUGACUUCUGGAAACUGUUCCCAAAGUAAAUUUUCCUAGCUCUGUGCACAUCUUAAGUAAGGCAGCUUUGUACUUCUUGUGGCAAAGGAGAAGAUGGGCCCUCUCAGAUGAACAAGUACAGAUACCCACAAUUAUACUCCAAAUUGUAAAAUUUCCCCCAAUUCCUUGAAAUAAAGGAUUGGGAUGCGUGUGAUGGCUGGUAAGG